UACGUAGGUGGCAAGCGUUGUCCGGAUUUACUGGGCGUAAAGAGCGCGCAGGCGGCUGGCCAAGUCCGAUGUGAAAUCUCCCGGCUUAACUGGGAAACUGCAUCGGAAACUGACCGGCUUGAAGGUGGGAGAGGGGCGUGGAAUUCCGGGUGUAGUGGUGAAAUGCGUAGAGAUCCGGAGGAACCCCAGAGGCGAAGGCGGCGCCCCAGCUCGGUUCUGACGCUCAGACACGAAAGCAUGGGGAGCGAACGGG
rnacentral:rRNA from 1 species